UCAUCAAAGCUUUGCUCCUUAAAAGAUUCAAAAAUUACAAUGAGCAUACAAUCUGAAAUAUUAACAUCAUGUUGUUCUGAAUUCUGGAAUGCUUUGUGCAAGUAUUAAAAUAUUGAUGCUGUUCAAAAAUGGAUUCUUAUGUCAGCUUGUUGCUGGUUUUUCCUCUGCAACGUGUUAGUCAGACUUCAUCUCUGAUUAUCUGGAAGAAGUUCAAAGCAGAAAUUGCUUCUUUGGACUUCAUUCCGGAGUUUUAGUCCUAGUGUCUUGCUUCUAGGCCCAUGGAGAUGGAGAACACACUGGCAGCGAACAUGGGAGAGAGCAAAACUCCGCCUGGUGACAUGUGGAAGCCAGAGACCACAAAGGAGCCAAAGCAGACAACAUUGCCAAAGCUACCAUCCGCCUGAGCAUCGUGGGAUGGAAUGGAGGCAA
rnacentral:lncRNA from 1 species